rnacentral:lncRNA from 1 species
AAAUGCUUACGAAUAUAAUUUACCUUCUGAAUAUCCUCGGCGGCGAUGCUUCCGAAUAUGCCGAUUUAAAGAACACAAAAGAUUACUAAAUUAGUAAAUUUGAUCUAAAAAUGAGAAAGUAAUCAUUAAUUAAAUUAUGGAGCAUUUUAAAGAAAGUAGUUAGCAUCUCUAUUCCCUUUCGACAUUUUCUUUCAUGUUGCAUAAUUCUUCAAUUUGUUUUUGUUUAAUCUUCGGAGUAUUUUAUAUUCAUGCAGAGAUUCAGGAUAAAUUUAAAAAAG